rnacentral:lncRNA from 1 species
UUUUUUUUUUUUUAUUUUAUUUUCCCACUGUACAGCAAGGGGGUCAGGUUAUCCUUACAUGUAUACAUUACAAUUACAGUUUUUCCCCCACCAUUUCUUCUGUUUGAGGCUCACCAUAUGAAGGAAUGUUUUCCUGGAAAGCUCUUCUUCUCCAGUCUGGCAUUCAUCCUUCUGAAACAUUUACCCUUCUGUCAGCUGGUCCUCUGGCCUAUUAAAACCAGAUCCCAGGUAAGGUCCCGAUGUCUACCUUGCAAAGGUAUUGGAUGGGGUAUCCUUUUGACUGGGAAAUGAAAUGUUGAUGUCCUGUGAAGGAAAAUUUAAUCCCCAGUAUGGUGGACAAGGAAAGCAUUGUUUUUGUUGGUUUCCUUUCUUUUUGUGUUUAAACUAGUAGGGUGUGGAGGACAGGGGAGAAGUGCCCUAUCCACAGUGCCUGAGGGCAGCUUAGCAACCCAGGAGUGUGUAGAGAGAAACUGGCUUAGCUGGUAUAGGAAGUUCUGUAGGAAACAUUCAUGGGCUCUGAGAAGUUGCAUUUCUAUCAAUGGGAGAUUUUCGGUUUUUUUAACUUUUUUGAAGUGUGGAGAUUUCUUAAUUUUCUCAAGAGUAAAAGUUUAACGAGUACUGUUUUCUUUUAGUUGAAGUUGAUGUCUCAUCCAGCCUUAAUGUUGCUAGUAGCAGGGCUAUUCUUAAAACCAUUCCUAAAAAAGAAUCAGCUACCUCACCAGAAACUGCCACAGCAUUCCUCGACUCUUCAGAAAUUCCAUUUCAUGCCAUUCUUAUUUGGAACAUACUUUGCAAUUAACAGUGUUCUAGUUCCUGUGAAUUGUGAAAAGAAUGAAUAGUGGGAGUUCCCAUUGUGGCUCAGCAGUAACAAACCAGAUUAGUACCCAUGAGGAUGGACAUUUGAUCCCUGGCCUGCUCAGUGGGUUAAGGAUCUGGCGUUACCUUGAGCUGUGGUGUAGGUCACAGAUGCGCCUCAGUUGCUGUGGGUGUGGCUGUUGCUGUGGUGUAGGCCGGCAGCAAUAGCUCCAACUUGACCCCUAGCUUGGGAACUUACAUAUGCCCAAAGUGUGGCCCUAAAAAGCAAAAAAAAAAAAGGAACAUGGAUCUAAAUAUCACACUUAUUUGUUUCAAAAAAUGAUAAAGCCAAGACUUAGAUUGAUAGUUGGAUAGGGAAGAAAAUAGGAUCUUUUGCCCCUCCUUUGAUGUCCCCAUAUUUUAUUUCUGAAAUAAAUAACCCAUAAAUAAUUGGCCUAGGCCUAGUAAAAGGAUAAUAAAAUGAUUUAGUUUUAUAAAUGGUGAUAGGUAGGAAACACUAUAGAACUGGUGACUUUCUUCUAAAGUUUUGGUUAAGCCAUUGGAGACUUUGCUGUCCAGAAGGUAGGGAUGUUGGCUCUGCCCUAAUUAUCUCAAAUAGCAAGUCUGUUUGGCCCCCAGGAAGGCGGCCAGAUAACGAAUGUGGACAUUACUUUUCUCAGCUCAAAUUGAGAAAAAAAAACUUUACAGAGCUUUGAGGAAGGCAGAUACCAGCAGCCUCUUUUAUGGUGGGUGUGAACACAAAUCAAAGACUCCAGCCGAAAACAUCCUCCACCUGGCGACUUCCAGGAU